UUGACCUCAAAUCAGGUAGGAGU
rnacentral:ncRNA from 3 species